rnacentral:rRNA from 1 species
GUGGGGAAUCUUAGACAAUGGGCGCAAGCCUGAUCUAGCCAUGCCGCGUGAGUGAUGAAGGCCCUAGGGUUGUAAAGCUCUUUCAGCUGGGAAGAUAAUGACGGUACCAGCAGAAGAAGCCCCGGCUAACUCCGUGCCAGCAGCCGCGGUAAUACGGAGGGGGCUAGCGUUGUUCGGAAUUACUGGGCGUAAAGCGCGCGUAGGCGGACUGAAAAGUAGGGGGUGAAAUCCCGGGGCUCAACCUCGGAACUGCCUUCAAAACUAUCAGUCUUGAGUUCGAGAGAGGUGAGUGGAAUUCCGAGUGUAGAGGUGAAAUUCGUAGAUAUUCGGAGGAACACCAGUGGCGAAGGCGGCUCACUGGCUCGAUACUGACGCUGAGGUGCGAAAGCGUGGGGAGCAAACAGGAUUAGAAACCCGAGUAGUCC